rnacentral:rRNA from 1 species
GUACGGCCGCAAGGUUAAAACUCAAAUGAAUUGACGGGGGCCCGCACAAGCGGUGGAGCAUGUGGUUUAAUUCGAUGCAACGCGAAGAACCUUACCUGGUCUUGACAUCCACGGAAGUUUUCAGAGAUGAGAAUGUGCCUUCGGGAACCGUGAGACAGGUGCUGCAUGGCUGUCGUCAGCUCGUGUUGUGAAAUGUUGGGUUAAGUCCCGCAACGAGCGCAACCCUUAUCCUUUGUUGCCAGCGGUCCGGCCGGGAACUCAAAGGAGACUGCCAGUGAUAAACUGGAGGAAGGUGGGGAUGACGUCAAGUCAUCAUGGCCCUUACGACCAGGGCUACACACGUGCUACAAUGGCGCAUACAAAGAGAAGCGACCUCGCGAGAGCAAGCGGACCUCAUAAAGUGCGUCGUAGUCCGGAUUGGAGUCUGCAACUCGACUCCAUGAAGUCGGAAUCGCUAGUAAUCGUGGAUCAGAAUGCCACGGUGAAUACGUUCCCGGGCCUUGUACACACCGCCCGUCACACCAUGGGAGUGGGUUGCAAAAGAAGUAGGUAGCUUAACCUUCGGGAGGGCGCUUACCACUUUGUGAUUCAUGACUGGGGUGAAGUCGUAACAAGGUAACCGUAGGGGAACCUGCGGUUGGA